ACUCCUACGGGAGGCAGCAGUGGGGAAUAUUGCGCAAUGGGGGAAACCCUGACGCAGCAACGCCGCGUGGGUGAUGAAGGCCCUUGGGUCGUAAAGCCCUGUCGGGGGGAAAGAACUAUCUAAGUGCGAAUACUUCUUAGACUUGACGGUACCUCCAAAGGAAGCACCGACCAACUCCGUGCCAGCAGCCGCGGUAAU
rnacentral:rRNA from 1 species